UACGUAGGGGGCAAGCGUUGUCCGGAUUUAUUGGGCGUAAAGAGCGUGUAGGCGCCAGACAGGUCCGUUGUGAAAACUCGAGGCUCAACCUCGAGAUGUCGAUGGAAACCGUCUGGCUAGAGUCCGGAGGAGGAGUGUGGAAUUCCUGGUGUAGCGGUGAAAUGCGCAGAUAUCAGGAAGAACACCUAUGGCGAAGGCAGCACUCUGGGACGGUACUGACGCUGAGACGCGAAAGCGUGGGGAGCGAACAGG
rnacentral:rRNA from 1 species